UUGAACGCUGGCGGCAGGCCUAACACAUGCAAGUCGAACGGUAACAGGAAACAGCUUGCUGUUUCGCUGACGAGUGGCGGACGGGUGAGUAAUGUCUGGGAAACUGCCUGAUGGAGGGGGAUAACUACUGGAAACGGUAGCUAAUACCGCAUAACGUCGCAAGACCAAAGAGGGGGACCUUCGGGCCUCUUGCCAUCGGAUGUGCCCAGAUGGGAUUAGCUAGUAGGUGGGUAACGGCUCACCUAGGCGACGAUCCCUAGCUGGUCUGAGAGGAUGACCAGCCACACUGGAACUGAGACACGGUCCAGACUCCUACGGGAGGCAGCAGUGGGGAAUAUUGCACAAUGGGCGCAAGCCUGAUGCAGCCAUGCCGCGUGUAUGAAGAAGGCCUUCGGGUUGUAAAGUACUUUCAGCGGGGAGGAAGGGAGUAAAGUUAAUACCUUUGCUCAUUGACGUUACCCGCAGAAGAAGCACCGGCUAACUCCGUGCCAGCAGCCGCGGUAAUACGGAGGGUGCAAGCGUUAAUCGGAAUUACUGGGCGUAAAGCGCACGCAGGCGGUUUGUUAAGUCAGAUGUGAAAUCCCCGGGCUCAACCUGGGAACUGCAUCUGAUACUGGCAAGCUUGAGUCUCGUAGAGGGGGGUAGAAUUCCAGGUGUAGCGGUGAAAUGCGUAGAGAUCUGGAGGAAUACCGGUGGCGAAGGCGGCCCCCUGGACGAAGACUGACGC
rnacentral:rRNA from 1 species